AUAAAAACAAAUGGUUAUUGUAUAGAUGAUGAGACCGUCUAUUGAAUUUUCUCUCAUUCUUUUUGUGUUGUGGAGGGGAACUUCUACCCACAACACUUUUUUUAUGGUGGGGGGGGGAACUUUUACCCAACAUAACCUUUCCUUUUCUUACUUUUUUGUGGGAGUGAAGAGACUUCUACCGUCCACAAUCCAACCAUUCCUCCUUAAUGCAUAAGAUGGGUGAAAGUUCUCCCCUCUCCCACAAAAAAGAAAAGAGAAAAUGCGACAGUCGUCUUAUAUUCUGUACCAUUCACACUAACCCUUUAUUUUUUUAUUCAUCUACAUUCGUCCUCCACCUAAAAACAGACUAAAUUACUAUUUACCCUAUUUUCAACUUUCAGCCCCAGCUUCUGCGCCUCCUUGAGCUCAUUACGAUUAAUGCCAUUUUUAAUUGUCAUUUUCAUUUCUACGGCUCAUAUAUAUGUAAAAAAGUGUCUCCCUCACCUUCAAACGUCUACUUUUAACCUAAAUGACAGUUUCCGAUAGUGUAUAGUUCAUAUGUGGUAUAUCAAUGUGGACAUGCAAAUAUUUCUAUUUUCCCCUUUAUUACUGUGGUCCAUUAUUCUUUAUCCCAAGAAAAUGCUUUUUAUUGGCCUGCCCUUGUUGACAAUAAUUUCCACUGUGGUAGUUUUUCUCACUGUGUAUAUUAACGAAAUUGUAUGGUAUUCGAGUGAUUAUUAUUACAAAUAUUAUUUUGUAACGCACACACAUUUAGCCCCGUGGUUUAUUGGAAUGGCGUUGGGCAUCAUACUACUUAACAGUAAAAAUAAAAAGUUCCAACUAAACAAGGUAAAACAAAAAAAUACGUUUUCAAAC